CAACCCUCAAGCCCUGCUUGGUGUUGGGGUCCUACGGCUGCCGUAGGCCCUGAAAGCUAGUGGCGGGCUCGCUAUAACUCCGAGCGUAGUAGUAAAAUAUCUCGCUAGGGAGGUGUCGCGGGUUCCGGCCGUGAAAGCCCAUCUUUUACACAA
rnacentral:misc_RNA from 3 species